UUACUGUGAGACUCCCGACUCACCACAACCAUGAAGUACCUGUGUCUGUUCCUCCUGGUCAGCCUGAUGGCAGUGGUCAUGGCAUUUGGUCAACCCUACAGGAAAGUUCCUCCUCCCUAUUAUGGCUCCAUUCCCAUCUAUGGGGCCGCUUCCCGGAUUGGAUCCCAAAACAAACUGAUUGCCACUUUCCUGCUCAGAGCCCGCUUAAUGUGAAAUCAACCAAUCGCUGCUCAUGGAGGGACAGCCCUGCGCCGCUCCAUCGGUCCAAAAGAGGGCACCAGAUCUCCCUGCCACACCCCAGCCCAGCCCAGGCCUUCGCGAUCAUUCACAAGGACCGCAAAUGAUACUAUCCCUCGGGAGAACGGUCUUCCUCGUUCCCGGAUUGGGGAGGGGGCAGGGAAUGAUUGUUAUCCACUUUUCCGUAGGGACGAACCUCCAUGCACGAGUUCAGAUAUAUCGAAAUAAAAAUUUAGUCUUCCAAUAUUAAGAAAUAAUUAGAAUUGAAUUCCCUCUCUUGGUUUUCUGCUUCUCUUCCGGACGGUGAGAGUGAAGAUGCAAACCCGCUGCUGAGGACUUUGAUGAAGAGUUGGUCAGGACCUCGGUCCAGCCCUUCUCUGAGCUAGUUUCGAACGAGGAAGGCAGCUGGGGAGUUGGGGUCUUCACCAUUCCCUUCAUCUGUAAAUGUCAAUGAGGUUGGGCUGGGGUUUAUCUCCACUGGGUUGGGUUGAGGUCAGUUGGGUGUUGGGCCUGAAUUGACUUAAAGCUGUUUGUGUUUCUGUGGGAUAGGUGGAGGUGAACACCAGGGUGGGGGAAGGAGUUAGUUGGGUUGGGUUGAGUGAAGGUGGACUCCAGUUGGUUUCUGUAUCGAUGGUGGAUGAUGUAAUUGCAUCUUGCUUGCUUA